rnacentral:rRNA from 1 species
AGUGAACGCUGGCGGUAGGCCUAACACAUGCAAGUCGAACGGCAGCACAGUAAGAGCUUGCUCUUACGGGUGGCGAGUGGCGGACGGGUGAGGAAUACAUCGGAAUCUACCUUUUCGUGGGUGAUAACGUAGGGACACUUACGCUAAUACCGCAUACGACCUACGGGUGAAAGCAGGGGAUCUUCGGACCUUGCGUGAUUGAAUGAGCCGAUGUCGGAUUGGCUAGUUGGCGGGGUAAAGGCCCACCAAGGCGACGAUCCGUAGCUGGUCUGAGAGGAUGAUCAGCAACACUGGAACUGAGACACGGUCCAGACGCCUACGGGAGGCAGCAGUGGGGAAUAUUGCACAAUGGGCGCAAGCCUGAUGGAGCAAUGCCGAGGGAGUGAAGAAGGUCUUCGGAUUGUAAAACUCUGUUAGUAGGGAAGAAGACAAGGAUGAGAAUAUGUGCACAUCUGGACGGUACAUAAACAGAAAGCAACGGCUAACUAAGUG